rnacentral:rRNA from 1 species
GAUGAACGCUGGCGGCGUGCUUAACACAUGCAAGUCGAACGAAGCACUUACAAUUGAUUCUUCGGAUGAAAGAGUUUGUGACUGAGUGGCGACGGGUGAGUAACGCGUGGAUAACCUGCCAUAUACAGGGGGGAUAACACUUAGAAAUAGGUGCUAAUACCGCAUAAGCGCACAGUUUCGCGUGAAGCAGUGUGAAAAACUCCGGUGGUAUAUGAUGGAUCCGCGUCUGAUUAGCUUGUUGCGGGGUAACGGCCCACCAAGGCGACGAUCAGUAGCCGGCCUGAGAGGGUGAACGGCCACAUUGGGACUGAGACACGGCCCAAACUCCUACGGGAGGCAGCAGUGGGGAAUAUUGCACAAUGGGGGAAACCCUGAUGCAGCGACGCCGCGUGAGUGAAGAAGUAUUUCGGUACGUAAAGCUCUAUCAGCAGGGAAGAAAAUGACGGUACCUGACUAAGAAGCCCCGGCUAACUACGUG